AAAAAUGCAAAGAAGGGGACUAGUAAAUUUUAUAUUCUUUUUUAGAGAGGAAACAUCUGGUGAGAGUUUCUAAAGAAUUAUUUUGAACCUGCCCUGGAGUUUCUGUAUUUUAAUUAUUAGAGUGCAGCGGUGAUAAUCGUUAAAGUUUUAAGCGAGUAUAUUUGGUAUCAAAUAUAUUAAUCAGGGUGGUACCGCCGAUAUAACCUCGGUCCCUUUA
rnacentral:ncRNA from 1 species